GGGACUGUGGCUCAGUGGUAGAGUACUUGCUUUUCAUGCAGAAGGUUGCAGGUUCAAUCCCUAAUAUUUCA
rnacentral:tRNA from 1 species